rnacentral:miRNA from 1 species
UUGGGUUGGCCAAAAAAUUGGUUCAAGUCUUCCAUAACAUCAUAUGGAAAAACCCAAAUGAACUUUUUGGCCAACCCAA